CAGGCUUAACACAUGCAAGUCGAGGGGCAGCAUUUCAGUUUGCUUGCAAACUGGAGAUGGCGACCGGCGCACGGGUGAGUAACACGUAUCCAACCUGCCGAUAACUCGGGGAUAGCCUUUCGAAAGAAAGAUUAAUACCCGAUGGCAUAAUUAGACCGCAUGGUCUUAUUAUUAAAGAAUUUCGGUUAUCGAUGGGGAUGCGUUCCAUUAGGCAGUUGGUGAGGUAACGGCUCACCAAACCUUCGAUGGAUAGGGGUUCUGAGAGGAAGGUCCCCCACAUUGGAACUGAGACACGGUCCAAACCCCUACGGGAGGCAGCAGUGAGGAAUAUUGGUCAAUGGGCGCAGGCCUGAACCAGCCAAGUAGCGUGAAGGAUGACUGCCCUAUGGGUUGUAAACUUCUUUUAUAUGGGAAUAAAGUUUUCCACGUGUGGAAUUUUGUAUGUACCAUAUGAAUAAGGAUCGGCUAACUCCGUGCCAGCAGCCGCGGUAAUACGGAGGAUCCGAGCGUUAUCCGGAUUUAUUGGGUUUAAAGGGAGCGUAGGUGGACAGUUAAGUCAGUUGUGAAAGUUUGCGGCUCAACCGUAAAAUUGCAGUUGAUACUGGCUGUCUUGAGUACAGUAGAGGUGGGCGGAAUUCGUGGUGUAGCGGUGAAAUGCUUAGAUAUCACGAAGAACUCCGAUUGCGAAGGCAGCUCACUGGACUGCAACUGACACUGAUGCUCGAAAGUGUGGGUAUCAAACAGGAUUAGAUACCCUGGUAGUCCACACAGUAAACGAUGAAUACUCGCUGUUUGCGAUAUACAGUAAGCGGCCAAGCGAAAGCAUUAAGUAUUCCACCUGGGGAGUACGCCGGCAACGGUGAAACUCAAAGGAAUUGACGGGGGCCCGCACAAGCGGAGGAACAUGUGGUUUAAUUCGAUGAUACGCGAGGAACCUUACCCGGGCUUAAAUUGCAUUUGAAUAUAUUGGAAACAGUAUAGCCGUAAGGCAAAUGUGAAGGUGCUGCAUGGUUGUCGUCAGCUCGUGCCGUGAGGUGUCGGCUUAAGUGCCAUAACGAGCGCAACCCUUAUCUUUAGUUACUAACAGGUCAUGCUGAGGACUCUAGAGAGACUGCCGUCGUAAGAUGUGAGGAAGGUGGGGAUGACGUCAAAUCAGCACGGCCCUUACGUCCGGGGCUACACACGUGUUACAAUGGGGGGUACAGAAGGCAGCUACCUGGUGACAGGAUGCUAAUCCCAAAAGCCUCUCUCAGUUCGGAUCGAAGUCUGCAACCCGACUUCGUGAAGCUGGAUUCGCUAGUAAUCGCGCAUCAGCCAUGGCGCGGUGAAUACGUUCCCGGGCCUUGUACACACCGCCCGUCAAGCCAUGAAAGCCGGGGGUACCUGAAGUACGUAACCGCAAGGAGCGUCCUAGGGUAAAACUGGUAAUUG
rnacentral:rRNA from 1 species